CAGGUAUAUUCCAUCUACCACAUCAGAAAAAUGUCCUAUGUUUUUGUAAAUGAUUCUUCUCAGACUAAUGUGCCCUUGCUACAAGCCUGUAUCGAUGGAGAUUUUAAUUAUUCCAAGAGGCUUUUGGAAAGUGGCUUUGACCCAAAUAUCCGUGACAGCAGGGGCAGAACAGGCCUUCACCUCGCAGCAGCCCGAGGGAAUGUAGACAUCUGUCAGUUACUGCAUAAAUUUGGUGCUGAUCUUCUGGCAACAGAUUAUCAAGGAAACACAGCUCUUCACCUCUGUGGCCAUGUGGAUACGAUUCAAUUUCUAGUUUCCAAUGGACUCAAAAUUGAUAUUUGCAAUCAUCAAGGUGCUACCCCCUUAGUUCUGGCAAAGCACAGGGGAGUGAAUAAAGAUCUCAUCCGAUUGCUGGAAUCUUUGGAAGAACAGGAGACAAAAGGACUUAACAGAGGAACCCACUCAAAACUGGAGAUCAUGCAGACAGCUGAGAGUGAAAGUGCCAUGGAAAGCCAUUCUUUCCUCAAUCCCAACCUGCAGCAAGGCUUAGGCUUCCUUUCCAGUUUUCGAACCACAUGGCAGGAGUUUAUGGAGGAUUUGGGCUUCUGGAGGGUGUUGCUCUUGAUCUUUGUCACCGCUCUGCUGUCUCUUGGCAUUGCCUACUAUGUGAGUGGGGUGCUGCCAUUCGUGGAAAACCAGCCUGAACUGGUACAUUAAGGGAGCUCAUGGGCGAUGAGGCAGUUGCCCGUUUCCUGGCUUCAAGUACUUUUUCUCAGUUUCUCAAAAUUCUUAGUGCAAGGCAGUGAGGGCUGUACAUUUUUCUUUUUGCCUUUGUACUUAUUGUAAUCCUUUUAGAUAAUGGUGUGUCCAUUUGAACUAACUACAUACUAUAAUCAAGUAUACUGCAUCCUGACGCUACCUCUGACUCAACCUGACUUCGUAGGAAAACCUACACAUAGCCUUGUUUGACAAAAUCACGGAAAUGACUAGAGGAUGG